CUCGAGUUGACCGCAGCGGGAAGCUCAGUACACGUGGCCAAGCUACCCUGUGGACGGGAAUACUCUCGGGAAACUGAGGCUAAUCCCCGAUAACGCUUUGCUCCUGGAAGGGGCAAAGCCGGAAACGCUCCGGCGCCACAGGAUGCGGCUGCGGUCGAUUAGGUAGACGGUGGGGUAACGGCCCACCGUGCCCAUAAUCGGUACGGGUUGUGAGAGCAAGAGCCCGGAGACGGAAUCUGAGACAAGAUUCCGGGCCCUACGGGGCGCAGCAGGCGCGAAACCUUUACACUGACUAGGAUUGGCUAAUCGAGCCGGGG
rnacentral:rRNA from 1 species